GGAGCUAACGCGUUAAGUCGACCGCCUGGGGAGUACGGCCGCAAGGUUAAAACUCAAAUGAAUUGACGGGGGCCCGCACAAGCGGUGGAGCAUGUGGUUUAAUUCGAUGCAACGCGAAGAACCUUACCUGGUCUUGACAUCCACGGAAGUUUUCAGAGAUGAGAAUGUGCCUUCGGGAACCGUGAGACAGGUGCUGCAUGGCUGUCGUCAGCUCGUGUUGUGAAAUGUUGGGUUAAGUCCCGCAACGAGCGCAACCCUUAUCCUUUGUUGCCAGCGGUCCGGCCGGGAACUCAAAGGAGACUGCCAGUGAUAAACUGGAGGAAGGUGGGGAUGACGUCAAGUCAUCAUGGCCCUUACGACCAGGGCUACACACGUGCUACAAU
rnacentral:rRNA from 1 species